rnacentral:rRNA from 1 species
GAGUUUGAUCAUGGCUCAGAUUGAACGCUGGCGGCAUGCCUUACACACGCAAGUCGAACGGCAGCACGGGUGCUUGCACCUGGUGGCGAGUGGCGAACGGGUGAGUAAUACAUCGGAACAUGUCCUGUAGUGGGGGAUAGCCCGGCGAAAGCCGGAUUAAUACCGCAUACGAUCUGAGGAUGAAAGCGGGGGACCUUCGGGCCUCGCGCUAUAGGGUUGGCCGAUGGCUGAUUAGCUAGUUGGUGGGGUAAAGGCCUACCAAGGCGACGAUCAGUAGCUGGUCUGAGAGGACGACCAGCCACACUGGGACUGAGACACGGCCCAGACUCCUACGGGAGGCAGCAGUGGGGAAUUUUGGACAAUGGGCGAAAGCCUGAUCCAGCAAUGCCGCGUGUGUGAAGAAGGCCUUCGGGUUGUAAAGCACUUUUGUCCGGAAAGAAAUCCUUGGUUCUAAUAUAGCCGGGGGAUGACGGUACCGGAAGAAUAAGCACCGGCUAACUACGUGCCAGCAGCCGCGGUAAUACGUAGGGUGCAAGCGUUAAUCGGAAUUACUGGGCGUAAAGCGUGCGCAGGCGGUUUGCUAAGACCGAUGUGAAAUCCCCGGGCUCAACCUGGGAACUGCAUUGGUGACUGGCAGGCUAGAGUAUGGCAGANGGGGGUAGAAUUCCACGUGUAGCAGUGAAAUGCGUAGAGAUGUGGAGGAAUACCGAUGGCGANNNAGCCCCCUGGG